CUCCUCUUACUGUAGAUAUAGUCUGAUUUUAAAGCCUUUUCUUCCCUGACUUAUCUCAUCUUUCCUUUUCAUCCACUGUCAUCAGCACUUUCUCAUGUGUAGAGAAGGGCAGGUUCAUCAUCUCUUGCCUUGCCUGUGGGUGGAGCCCUUCCUUGGGUGCCAGGUUCAGGCACCUGCAUCUUAUUUACUCAUUACUGCACUGUGUAUAAGGACUAUCUUCCUCCGCCAUGUUUGCCAGAUUGUUGUUAUUCUUGUUUUGGUACUCAGGCUCUCUGAACGUUUGCUUUGUGCCCCAGUUUCUGCUAGUCUCCUGGAAACGCUACCACCUUUGGACAAACACUCACCUGUUGCUGUCAAGCUGGUCAUCAACUACAGAGGACAGAAAGUCAUUCAUCGCUUAAUGUCUGUGCACCUGCUUGCCCACUUUCUGUCACUCCUGCUUCCUGGAUCCU